rnacentral:rRNA from 1 species
GACGAACGCUGGCGGCGUGCUUAACACAUGCAAGUCGAACGGAAAGGCCCUGCUUUUGUGGGGUGCUCGAGUGGCGAACGGGUGAGUAACACGUGAGUAACCUGCCCUUGACUUUGGGAUAACUUCAGGAAACUGGGGCUAAUACCGGAUAGGAGCUCCUGCUGCAUGGUGGGGGUUAGAAAGUUUCGGCGGUUGGGGAUGGACUCGCGGCUUAUCAGCUUGUUGGGGGGGUAGUGGCUUACCAAGGCUUUGACGGGUAGCCGGCCUGAGAGGGUGACCGGCCACAUUGGGACUGAGAUACGGCCCAGACUCCUACGGGAGGCAGCAGUGGGGAAUAUUGCACAAUGGGCGGAAGCCUGAUGCAGCAACGCCGCGUGCGGGAUGACGGCCUUCGGGUUGUAAACCGCUUUCGCCUGUGACGAAGCGUGAGUGACGGUAAUGGGUAAAGAAGCACCGGCUAACUACGUG